rnacentral:rRNA from 1 species
GGAGUUAGCCGGUGCUUCUUCUGUGAGUGAUGUCCUUCCUGCCGGCUAUUAACCCGCAGGCCUUCUUCCUCACUGAAAGUGCUUUACAACCCGAAGGCCUUCUUCACACACGCGGCAUGGCUGGAUCAGGGUUGCCCCCAUUGUCCAAUAUUCCCCACUGCUGCCUCCCGUAGGAGUCUGGGCCGUGUCUCAGUCCCAGUGUGGCUGAUCAUCCUCUCAGACCAGCUACGGAUCGUCGCCUUGGUGAGCCGUUACCUCACCAACCAGCUAAUCCGACAUAGGCUCAUCCGAUAGCGCGAGGCCCGAAGGUCCCCCGCUUUCCCCCGUAGGGCGUAUGCGGUAUUAGCCUGGGUUUCCCCAGGUUAUCCCCACUACCGGGCAGAUUCCUAUGCAUUACUCACCCGUCCGCCGCUACGCCACCAGGGAGCAAGCUCCCCGUGCUGCCGCUCGACUUGCAUGUGUUAGGCCUGCCGCCAGCGUUCAAUCUGAGCCAGGAUCAAACUCUGA